rnacentral:rRNA from 1 species
ACGGUGAAACCGCGAAUGGCUCAUUAAAUCAGCUAUGGUUCCUUAGAUCAUACUAUCCUACUUGGAUAACUGUAGUAAUUCUAGAGCUAAUACAUGCAACAAAGCCCUUCUCUUACGGGAAGGGCGCACUUAUUAGAUCAAAACCAAUCGGAGCUUGCUCCGCAGUUUUGAUGACUCUGGAUAAUUUUUCUGAUCGCACGGCCUUUGCGUCGGCGACGUAUCUUUCAAAUGUCUGCCCUAUCAACUUUAGAUGGUAGGUGAUUUGCCUACCAUGGUUAUAACGGGUAACGGGGAAUCAGGGUUCGAUUCCGGAGAGGGAGCCUGAGAAACAGCUACCACAUCCAAGGAAGGCAGCAGGCGCGUAAAUUACCCACUCUCAGAACGAGGAGGUAGUGACGAAAAAUAACGAUGCGGGACUCAAAUGAGGCCCCGUAAUUGGAAUGAGUACACUUUAAAUCCUUUAACGAGGAUCAAUUGGAGGGCAAGUCUGGUGCCAGCAGCCGCGGUAAUUCCAGCUCCAAUAGCAUAUAU